rnacentral:rRNA from 1 species
AUUGAACGCUGGCGGCAGGCCUAACACAUGCAAGUCGGGCGAGCGGCGGACGGGUGAGUAAUGUAUGGGGAUCGGCCCGAUGGAGGGGGAUAACUACUGGAAACGGUAGCUAAUACCGCAUACCAUCAGAUGAACCCAUAUGGGAUUAGCUUGUAGGUAAGGUAACGGCUUACCUAGGCCACGAUCCCUAGCUGGUCUGAGAGGAUGAUCGGCAACACGGGGACUGGGACCGGGCCAGGACUCUAAGGGGAGGAAGAGGUGGGGAAUAUUGGACAAGGGGCGAAGGCCGAAGACGGCCAUGCGGGUGAGAUGAGAAGGGCCUUCGGUUGGAAAGGUCCUUUCAUAGGGAAGGCGUUACCGACAGAAGAAGCAACGGCUAACUCCGUGCCAGCAGCCGCGGUAAUAC